ACAGUCUUAACACCAUUAAGUGUUUGAACUAUAGGCCCAAACACUUCACGUUUUGCAAGUGAAUUCAAUUCUGAUUGGAUUGCUUCUUGCCAUUUUGGCCAAUCAAGUCUUUGUCGACAUUCUCCAACAGAUUGAGGUUCAAGAUCCUCACUUUCUUGCAUAAUGCUAGAUGCAACAUUAUAUGGAAAUACAUAAUCCACCACUAUAUCCACUCGAUUAAAAUUUGUCUCAAUAUCGAUUGGAUUUAUUGAUAGUUCCUUAUUUUC
rnacentral:lncRNA from 1 species